UAUCUGGAGAAGAGGCACUUGAUUGUGCAUAAUUGAAUCCUACUCCAGCCUUUUGAGGAACGAAAAGCUUGUUGCCACUGGAUACCUCAGUCUUUAGUGAGCUUGGGGAGUAAAGUGCAUUAGUUAAGUUUGAAGAGAUAUCCAUAAGAGAGACUUCGUCUUCAAAAGAGGAAACAUUCUCCCCUUGUUUAAAUGCAGAAAUAACUGAGCUUUGAGCUUCAGCCUGAUGAAUGCCUUUUCAGUUUCGGACAGAUUUUCUACUGGGACAUACUCACAUUCAGAGAUCAGCCCUGUCAAUUGUCCCACAGUAUUGAAGACCACGCCAGUUUUCUGUUGAGAAUGAGGAGGGAGGUACAGGUGCCUCCUCGAUUCAAGUUCACAAGUUCGAGCAUGCUCCACAGUUACUUCCCACAUCUUUGUAGACAUACCUGAGCC